rnacentral:tRNA from 1 species
GCACCCUUAGCUCAGUUGGAUAGAGCGCGUGGCUUCGAACCACGAGGUCGGGGGUUCGAGCCCCUCAGGGUGUACCA